UACGUAGGGUCCAAGCGUUAUCCGGAAUCACUGGGCGUAAAGCGUGCGUAGGCGGCGUGUUAAGUGUGAUGUUAAAUCGUGUGGCUCAACCAUAUCGAUGCAUCGCAUACUGGCAUGCUAGAGGAAGGCAGAGGCAAGUGGAAUUGGCAGUGUAGCAGUGAAAUGCGUAGAGAUUGCCAGGAACACCAAUGGCGAAGGCAGCUUGCUGGGCCUUAUCUGACGCUGAGGUACGAAAGCGUGGGGAGCGAACAGG
rnacentral:rRNA from 1 species